UACGUAGGGUGCGAGCGUUAAUCGGAAUUGCUGGGCGUAAAGCGUGCGCAGGCGGUGACCCAAGUCAGAUGUGAAAUCCCCGGGCUUAACCUGGGAACUGCAUUUGAAACUAGGUCGCUAGAGUACGGCAGAGGGGGAUGGAAUUCCGCGUGUAGCAGUGAAAUGCGUAGAUAUGCGGAGGAACACCAAUGGCGAAGGCAAUCCCCUGGGCCUGUACUGACGCUCAUGCACGAAAGCGUGGGGAGCAAACAGGAUUAGAAA
rnacentral:rRNA from 1 species